CUCUUUCAUGGUAUCAGAUUGCUAGGGUUAAAACUCUUCCGCUGUGCCCUAGCCCCUCCUUCUCUUCCUCCGUCACUCUCUCUUCUCUUCAGCCACCAUGACAGACUCUUCCUCCAAAACUGCUGGUUGCUCUUCUUUUCAUCCAGCCCUCUCAGUUUCUAACAUCAGAAACCAUGUCUCCAUUGUUCUAGAGAUGGAGAAUGUGCAGUAUGGAACUUGGGCUGAACUUUUUAAGAUCCAUGCUCGGUCGCAUAAGGUGCUCCAUCAUAUCAUUCCUCCACCCCCGGGUAAGGAAAAGCCUGCUCCGGAAACCGACGAUGAAAUUGAGUUUUGGUCCACCCUUGAUGCAACCGUCCUUCAAUGGAUAUAUUCCACCAUAUCCAAUGACCUUUUGAAUACUAUUCUUGAACCAGAAGCUACAGCCAUGGAGGCCUGGGACCGGCUGCUUAACAUUUUUCAAGAUCACCAAAAUUCUCGUGCCGUGAUUCUUGAACAGGAAUUCACCACCACUCGCCAGGAUGAUUUUCCAAACGCGGCUGCGUAUUGUCAAAGGCUGAAGAGCCUUUCCGACCAACUAAAAAAUGUAGGGGCUCCGGUGGCUGCGAGCCGUCUGGUUUUACAGUUGGCUUCAGGUCUUAGCGAGGCAUACAAGCAUGUCGGCACUCAGAUUCGGCACGCAAAACCCCUUCCACCAUUCAGCGAGGCGCGUUAGUUCCUCCCUUCUCUUGGAGGAGCGUGAACUUGCAGCCAUGGCUGCGCACGGCGGUGGGGCGGCUUUGGUUGCGGCGGUGGAUAAUGUGGCUCCUCCACAAGAUGGCGCAGGGGCGAAUGGAACUAAUCUCAACCGAAACCGUAACAACCGCAACAAUUCUGGGAACAAAAACCGCGGUGGUGGUGGCCGCGGUGGUGGCCGAACCUCUGGUGGUGGUGGCCAGCAGUCCCCUUCUGGUGGAACAUGGCAGUGGCAAUGGGUACCAAACUUCAAUCCACCUCCACCACCAUGCCCAUUGCCCACACAAGCUUGGGCCAAGCCUGCAACAGGCCCAACACGGAUGAUUGGACAACAGGGAGUUCUGGGCCCGCAUCCUCAACAGCUCUAUUAUGCUUCUGGUCCAACAGGUUCGUAUGUCCCCACUUUUGUUCCAACGGACAUCGAAUCAGCUAUGCACACGAUGACAAUGGCUCCACCCGACCCAAAUUGGUAUAUGGAUACCGGUGCAACAUCUCAUAUGACAUCCUCAAAUGGACUUUCAGACGGGGAUGGCUAUAAUGAGGUGUAACAGUCAAGGCGACCUAUAUCCUCUCACCACACUCACAAAUCAAACCACUCCACCAUCCACUUUUGCUGCUUUGUCGUCCUCUACUUGGCAUGCUCGUUUAGGACACCCGGGAACUUCUAUUUUGGAUUAUCUUAGGCUCAAUAAAAGUAUUGAAUGUACUAAAUCUAGUGCUUCUAAUAUUUGUAGUUCUUGCAUUUUUGGUAAACACAUUAAAUUGCCGUUUGUUUCGUCGAAUUCUAAAACAUUGUUGCCAUUUGAUAUUAUUCAUAGUGAUUUGUGGACUUCUCCCAUUUUGACUUCCUUGGGGCAUCGUUAUUAUGUUCUGUUUUUGAAUGAUUUUUCGAACUUUUUAUGGACAUUCCCGUUGGCUAAGAAAUCGGAUGUCUAUG